rnacentral:rRNA from 1 species
UGAGUACGAGAUGCUACGGCAUCGAAGCAGUCUAUGUCAUACUUCCAAGAAAAGCUUGCACUGUCAGAAACAGAUAAUGCCUGUACCAUAACCGACACAGGUGGGUAGGUAGAGUAUACUAAGGGGCGCGAGAUAACUCUCUCUAAGGAACUCGGCAAAAUGACUCCGUAACUUCGGGAGAAGGAGUGCCUUAUUUUUAAGGUUGCAAUAACAAGAUCCAAGCAACUGUUUACCAAAAACACAGGUCUCCGCUAAGUCGUAAGACGAUGUAUGGGGGCUGACGCCUGCCCAGUGCCAGAAGGUUAAAGAAGUCGGUUAGCAUUCGCGAAGCUGGUAACUGAAGCCCUGGUGAACGGCGGCCGUAACAAUAACGGUCCUAAGGUAGCGAAAUUCCUUGUCGGGUAAGUUCCGACCCGCACGAAAGGCGUAAUGAUUUGGAUACUGUCUCGGAGAGGGGCUCGGUGAAAUAGACUUGUCUGUGAAGAUGCGGACUACCUGCACCUGGACAGAAAGACCCUAUGAAGCUUUACUGUAACUUGAAAUUGAAAUUGGACUUUAUUUGCGCAGUAUAGGUGGGAGGCGUUGAAAAUAUUCUUGCGGGAAUAUUGGAGCCAUCAGUGAGAUACCACUCUUGUAAUGUUAGAUUUCUAACUUUAUAUCAUUAUCUGGUUAAAGAACAGUUUCAGGCGGGCAGUUUGACUGGGGCGGUCGCCUCCCAAAUGGUAACGGAGGCGCACAAAGGUUUCCUCUGAACGGGUAGAAAUCGUAUCUAGAGUGUAAAGGCAUAAGGAAGCUUGACUGUGAGACCUACAAGUCGAGCAGGGACGAAAGUCGGUCUUAGUGAUCUGACGGUGCUGAGUGGAAAGGCCGUCACUCAACGGAUAAAAGUUACUCUAGGAUAACAGGCUGAUCUCCCCCAAGGGUUCACAUCGACGGGGAGGUUUGGCACCUCGAUGUCGGCUCAUCGCAUCCUGGGGCGGUAGUACGUCCCAAGGGUUGGGCUGUUCGCCCAUGAAAGCGGUACGCGAGCUGGGUUCAGAACGUCGUGAGACAGUUCGGUCCAUAUCCGGUGUAGGCGUUAGAAUAUUGAGAGGAGCCUUCUUUAGUACGAGAGGACCGAGAAGGACAUACCUCUGGUGUGCCAGUUAUCGUGCCAACGGUAAACGCUGGGUAGCUAUGUAUGGAGUGGAUAACCGCUGAAAGCAUCUAAGUGGGAAGCCCACCUCAAGAUAAG